rnacentral:rRNA from 1 species
AACAAACGCUGGCGGCGUGCCUAAUACAUGCAAGUCGAACGGGGAAAGCUUUCGGGUGAGUACUAGUGGCGCACGGGUGAGUAACGCGUGGAUAAUAUGCCUUAGAGUGGGGGAUAACUAGUCGAAAGAUUAGCUAAUACCGCAUAAGACCACAAGAACUGCGGUUCAAGAGGUCAAAGGUUUUUCGCUCUAAGAUGAGUCCGCGUAAGAUUAGCUAGUUGGUGAGGUAACGGCUCACCAAGGCAACGAUCUUUAACUGGUCUGAGAGGAUGAUCAGUCACACUGGAACUGAGACACGGUCCAGACUCCUACGGGAGGCAGCAGUAGGGAAUAUUGCACAAUGGAGGAAACUCUGAUGCAGCGACGCCGCGUGAGUGAUGAAGGCCUUCGGGUCGUAAAGCUCUGUCGCAGGGGAAUAACACAAUGAAUGUACCCUGUAAGAAAGGAUCGGCUAACUUCGUGCCAGCCGCCGCGGUAACAC